UUAAGUUAAUAAGGGCGCACGGUGGAUGCCUUGGCACUAGGAGCCGACGAAGGACGUGACAAACGACGAUAUGCCUUGGGUAGCUGUAAGUAAGCGAUGAUCCAGGGAUUUCCGAAUGGGGGAACCCAACAGGUAAUACCUGUUACCUACAUCUGUUAAGGAUGUGAGGAGGAAGACGCAGUGAACUGAAACAUCUAAGUAGCUGCAGGAAGAGAAAGCAAAAGCGAUUGCCUUAGUAGCGGCGAGCGAAACGGCAGAAGGGCAAACCGAAGAGUUUACUCUUCGGGGUUGUAGGACUGCAAUGUGGACUCAAAGAUUAUAGAAGAAUGAUUUGGGAAGAUCAGCCAAAGAGAGUAAUAGCCUCGUAUUUAAAAUAGUCUUUGUACUUAGCAGUAUCCUGAGUACGGCGGGACACGUGAAAUCCCGUUGGAAUCUGGGAGGACCAUCUCCCAACCCUAAAUACUCCCUAGUGACCGAUAGUGAACCAGUACCGUGAGGGAAAGGUGAAAAGCACCCCGGGAGGGGAGUGAAAUAGAACCUGAAACCGUGUGCCUACAACAAGUUCGAGCCCGUUAAUGGGUGAGAGCGUGCCUUUUGUAGAAUGAACCGGCGAGUUACGUUAUGAUGCGAGGUUAAGUUGAAGAGACGGAGCCGUAGGGAAACCGAGUCUGAAUAGGGCGCCUUAGUAUCAUGACGUAGACCCGAAACCAUGUGACCUACCCAUGAGCAGGUUGAAGGUGCGGUAAGACGCACUGGAGGACCGAACCAGGGCACGUUGAAAAGUGCUUGGAUGACUUGUGGGUAGCGGAGAAAUUCCAAACGAACUUGGAGAUAGCUGGUUCUCUCCGAAAUAGCUUUAGGGCUAGCGUCGACAUUAGAGAUUCUUGGAGGUAGAGCACUGUUUGGGUGAGGGGUCCAUCCCGGAUUACCAAUCUCAGAUAAACUCCGAAUGCCAAUGAAUUAUGGUCGGCAGUCAGACUGCGAGUGCUAAGAUCCGUAGUCGAAAGGGAAACAGCCCAGACCACCAGCUAAGGUCCCAAAAUAAUUGUUAAGUGGAAAAGGAUGUGGGGUUGCACAGACAACUAGGAUGUUAGCUUAGAAGCAGCUAUUCAUUCAAAGAGUGCGUAAUAGCUCACUAGUCGAGUGACCCUGCGCCGAAAAUGUACCGGGGCUAAAACAAUUUACCGAAGCUGUGGAUACCUUUAUAGGUAUGGUAGGAGAGCGUUCUAUGUGUGAUGAAGGUAUACCGUGAGGAGUGCUGGAACGCAUAGAAGUGAGAAUGCCGGUAUGAGUAGCGAAAGACAGGUGAGAAUCCUGUCCACCGUAAGACUAAGGUUUCCAGGGGAAGGCUCGUCCGCCCUGGGUUAGUCGGGACCUAAGGAGAGACCGAAAGGUGUAUCCGAUGGACAACAGGUUGAUAUUCCUGUACUAGAGUAUGUAGUGAUGGAGGGACGCAGUAGGCUAACUAAAGCAGACGAUUGGAAGAGUCUGUCUAAGCAGUGAGGUGUGAAUUGAGUCAAAUGCUUAAUUCUAUAACAUUGAGCUGUGAUGGGGAGCGAAGUUUAGUAGCGAAGUUAGUGACGUCACACUGCCAAGAAAAGCUUCUAGCGUUUAAACAUACUCUACCCGUACCGCAAACCGACACAGGUAGUCGAGGCGAGUAGCCUCAGGUGAGCGAGAGAACUCUCGUUAAGGAACUCGGCAAAAUGACCCCGUAACUUCGGGAGAAGGGGUGCUGACUUUAAGUCAGCCGCAGUGAAUAGGCCCAAGCAACUGUUUAUCAAAAACACAGCUCUCUGCUAAAUCGUAAGAUGAUGUAUAGGGGGUGACGCCUGCCCGGUGCUGGAAGGUUAAGAGGAGUGCUUAGCGUAAGCGAAGGUAUGAAUUGAAGCCCCAGUAAACGGCGGCCGUAACUAUAACGGUCCUAAGGUAGCGAAAUUCCUUGUCGGGUAAGUUCCGACCCGCACGAAAGGCGUAAUGAUUUGGGCACUGUCUCAACGAGAGACUCGGUGAAAUUUUAGUACCUGUGAAGAUGCAGGUUACCCGCGACAGGACGGAAAGACCCCAUGGAGCUUUACUGCAGUUUGAUAUUGAGUGUCUGUACCACAUGUACAGGAUAGGUAGGAGUCUAAGAGAUCGGGACGCCAGUUUCGAAGGAGACGCUGUUGGGAUACUACCCUUGUGUUAUGGCCACUCUAACCCAGAUAGGUGAUCCCUAUCGGAGACAGUGUCUGACGGGCAGUUUGACUGGGGCGGUCGCCUCCUAAAAGGUAACGGAGGCGCCCAAAGGUUCCCUCAGAAUGGUUGGAAAUCAUUCGCAGAGUGUAAAGGUAUAAGGGAGCUUGACUGCGAGAGCUACAACUCGAGCAGGGACGAAAGUCGGGCUUAGUGAUCCGGUGGUUCCGUAUGGAAGGGCCAUCGCUCAACGGAUAAAAGCUACCCUGGGGAUAACAGGCUUAUCUCCCCCAAGAGUUCACAUCGACGGGGAGGUUUGGCACCUCGAUGUCGGCUCGUCGCAUCCUGGGGCUGUAGUCGGUCCCAAGGGUUGGGCUGUUCGCCCAUUAAAGCGGCACGCGAGCUGGGUUCAGAACGUCGUGAGACAGUUCGGUCCCUAUCCGUCGCGGGCGUAGGAAAUUUGAGAGGAUCUGCUCCUAGUACGAGAGGACCAGAGUGGACUUACCGCUGGUGUACCAGUUGUCUUGCCAAAGGCAUCGCUGGGUAGCUAUGUAGGGAAGGGAUAAACGCUGAAAGCAUCUAAGUGUGAAACCCACCUCAAGAUGAGAUUUCCCAUGAUUAUAUAUCAGUAAGAGCCCUGAGAGAUGAUCAGGUAGAUAGGUUAGAAGUGGAAGUGUGGCGACACAUGUAGCGGACUAAUACUAAUAGCUCGAGGACUUAUCCAA
rnacentral:rRNA from 1 species